GCCUGCCCGGUGAUUAUUUAAACGGCUGCGGUAUAUUGACUGUGCGAAGGUAGCAUAAUCAUUUGCUUUAUAAUUGAAGGCUGGUAUGAAUGGUCUGACGAAAGCAAUGCUGUCUUUAUUGGAUUUUUUAGAAUUUAACUUUUAGGUGAAAAGGCCUAAAUUUAAUUAAAAGACAAGAAGACCCUAUCGAGCUUGAAGAAAUUGGUGGAUAAAAAGGUUGUGUGGAGCAUGGUUAUGUAAUUUAAUUCUGUUAAGGUAUUUUAGUUGGGGUGACUAGGGAACAUUAGGAGCUUCUUUGAGUUGAUUUUAUUAUUAUAAUUAUAGAUCCGGCGUGAUGUUGAUUUUUAGAUUUAGUUACCGUAGGGAUAACAGCAUAAUCUUUUUUGAGAGUUCUUAUUGAGAAAAAGGUUUGUGACCUCGAUGUUGGAUUAGAAUUUCCUAAAGGUGUAGAAGCUUU
rnacentral:rRNA from 1 species